AGGACGAAGCAGAGCAAUGCUCUGCGGAGGAGAAGAGGAAAGAAACAUGGGCGAGGCUAGAGAAGGUGGCAAGUAUGAAGCCUGUAACUGGAAAGACAGCUGUUCUGGUAACUCCUUUAGCAACCUCUAUUGCCUGCUAAAUGAAGAUGAUGGAAUGGUUGUUGGUUAAGCUAUGGUCUGGAUUUGAUCUUUGUAAUGUUAUAUAGUUUUGAUGUUGUUAGCUUAUGUGGGUUUUAUGCUAAAUCUCUUGCUUUAAAAGUGAGGAAGCCUUGAAACCAUGCUGCAGAUUUCUAUAUGAAACUCUUUGUAUUCAAUUAAGUUUAUAUAAGAAGUCAUUUUCAACAAUGUGUUAUGUGUGUGUAUAUGAGGUACAUAGAGUCUUGCUACAGAAACAAAAACAUAGUUAUUGUCUUCAUUGUAGGCAUGCACUCGGGUUCGGAUAAUUCGGUUUGGUUCUAACAUAAAUCUUACCAAAUUUGAAAUAAAGUUUGGUUCGGUAUUCGAUUUUCAAAAAUUUAAUUUUUUUUUAUUUUGGUUAUAUUUUGAUUUAAUUUUGUUAAAAUUUCAGAUAAGUUUGGUUAAAUUCAAUUAGUUCAAUUAUUACGGUUUGAAAUGUGGCCAAUUCGGUUCAAAUUUUGGCAUAAUUUGGUCGUAAUUUUUUUUUUCAAAGAAAACCAAAGUAACAACCACUUACCAAAUCGAAAACUGAACAUUUUUUAAUAAAAACCACCAAUUCUAUUUGCUAAAGAAACAAAAACAUAGUUUUUAGUCUCUUCUUCACAAAACUUCAUAGAUUAAGGUCAUGUAGGAAGAACGUUUUCCCACGAUAUGUUAUGGUCUUUUCUUCACCUCCAAGGCACCACAAAUGCCCUUGCAGGUCAAGACUCUCCUUCAUCCCAGCCGUUUCCCACACAAAUUCAAAUAGCCCCAAGGCUCUAUCCAACUGCUUGAUCCCUCUCCCCAACAUCUUCUCAUCCCCUGAGGUCAAUACCCUCCCCAUGCUUAAGCUAAAAACCCCACUCUUCUCCUCCUUGUGAAACCCUCCACAGAGAUCAACUUCAAUGUCACGCACACGUCCGUAGAGAAAAUACACGAGGAGAGUGAACAAACACGGAGAAGGACUCCCCAACAUCUUCGAAAGCUUUCUGUAGACAAGGUGCUCUUGAUGCCUAACCUCUCUGAACCCAAUAGUGUUGUCCAGAAACACGUCUUUGAUCUGUAGAAGCCCUUCUUUCAUCGACAAAAGCUUCUCCAUAUGGUAAAAGUCAUGCUCUUCGAGGUACCUUCUCAGAUCGUUCACCAUGUCGAGAACAUCUUCCCACUUCGCAGAAGCGUUUGCCUUCGCGUAUCUACCUGGCACGGGACGCAUCCAUGAAGUCGAGCUCUCGUCUUCGAACGAAACCGAUGAUUCAGACAAGAACUUGAGGCAAGACAAGAUCACUUGCUGUCCUAACUUCGUCCCUUGCCUUGUUGUCUCGCUAUGUUCAACUUCUUCUUGGAGACCAUUCAGUAUAUCUUCGAGCGCACCUCUCCAGAUACGGUACUGGGUCACCUGUGAACACACCGUGGACCUCACUAGCUUCCUCUGUUGGGCCGUGAUGUCAAGAAAGUUGCAAACUUUGGUUAAUGAGUUCACCAACAAUGGCUCUCUUUCGGUUUCGGUGUUGAAGCGUCCGUGUUCUUUGAGCUUCUGCUGAAGUGAAGGUGACCCAACGAAGAUUCUAGCUAGAGAUUUGAAGGCUUGCAUCUUCUGUUUGAUGUGAUCAUCGUAGAUGAUGACGCCGUUGAUGUCUUCGAGCUUCCCGUCUACUAAAUCAAAGUCUUUUAGUGAACGGGUGAGUUUGGUUAGAAGUGGGAGUUUCUUUGAGUACCAUUCAAAUGGUAAUGAUUCUUUGUAGGAAUCAACAUGGAUUGAACGGAGGAAGCGACUUGGGUUAGCCCUUACGGUACCCAACAUUUGAAACAGCUACGAGCUAAUAUUCAGACAUUAAGUGAAUAAAUCAGACAAGAAAUGUCAAACUCUCUCUCUCUCUGUCUCUCUCUUGGGAAUUUCUACGAACAGUUUGUGUGCAACUCUUGAAGACGGGAAAAAUCUAAGAGACUCAUCAACAUGUAGGAUUUUCUAACUAGACAUUAAAGUUGUAGUGCAAGAGCAUCUGUAGCGUGAAAGAGAAGUGAAGCGAUUUGGGAGAAGAGAAGAGAAGCUUCAGAUGAGUAGAUAUGGCAAUGUCUGUGAGAGAGGAGAUGAGAAGUUGGAAAGCGAAGAGAGCAGGUUUUGGGUUUGGAUCAUUAAUGGGCCGAAGAAAUAAUAAUUUAAAAAGGCCCAAGAGCUAGUAUUAUUACGGUAUAUUUUUCUUUUUGUUUUACGUACUAAAACGUUUCUAAUAUGUUUUUUUUAUUAACCAAGAAACUGUAAAGUUUCCUCAUAAAAAUUGUAGAAUUUUCAUAUAUAUGUUUGUUAGUAAUACUGUAUAUGUAAUUAAAUCAUUUUUUUUUGUCCAAUUGCACCACCAUGCUUUCCAAAAACCAAGGUAUUACAGUUUCUAAUUUUGUAAUUCUUAAACCAGGGAAAUGGUCUUUUAAUUAUCUUUACUUUUGCUCGUAACAUUCUUAACUUUCCCACGAAAAUCAGAAUUUUGAAAUAUCCAGUUAACUGUUAAGCCUCUCUGUUGUCUCCUAAGCAUUACUCUGUGAGUCUAUCUUCCCCCUCCAACGGAUUUUCAGUUUAUUAAAUGAAAUUUCUGAAUGUUGUGAAGAAUAUAUAGUAUUGAUAUCUUUUAUCAAAAAGGAGAUAUAGUAUUUGAUCAUGUUUAUGUCUUUUUAUAUGAAGAUUUACGAUUUCUGAGUCCGAUUCCUCUUGACUCGUGCGGAUGCCUCUAUUGUUUUUAGUAGAAUUAUACCAUACAUAUUAUUUUUUUUGAUAAUCAAUUAUACCAUACAUAUUACAUACGGCCUUUAAAAGGAAAAAGCGUUUUCAUCCAAAUUAUUGAGAAUGCAUGGUCCUUCCAUGACAACUGCAUACUUUGCAUAAAGAUAUAUAUAAAUCAUUAGGAAGAAUGUGACAAAAAACAAAAGAAAGAGAAGCGAAGAAAGAAGGGCUUAUAAAGAUGAAUAUGCUUUCUUUUAUGUGGGUUAAAGAAAAAUUUUAUGCUUUCUUUUAUGUUUUAAAAACUUUUUCUUAAAGUUGCUGCAAUUUUCUAAAAAUUUACCAAUCUAUUAAUGUUUUUCUUUAACUGUUUUGUAAUGAUAAAUUGUUUUUAUUAUUGUUUUCAAGGGUAUUUGUAAAAUGGAUAAAAGGUCUUCUUUGAUGUUGCUUUUUGCUACAAAAAUUGACUUUAACAGUAUGAAUUCUUGUUUACUUCUUCCGUUUCUCAAUAAAUAUCAUUUUGACACUAUUCACACAGACUAAUAAAGUAGCGGAAAUAUAUGUAAAUUGUUACUAUCUCUGUUCCCGAAAGUAAGAUUUUCUAAAGUGUUCACGCUUAUUAAGAAUUCAAUAAAUGUUUAUAAUUUAUUUUUUCUUUUACUUUAUUAUACACUUUUCAAUAACUUUUCACCAAUGAAAUUUAAUCAAUUCAAAUAUUUUCAUUUAAUGUUUCUUAAAAGCAUAAAAAGUACCUUAAACAUAUAGAAAAUCUAUAUUUGUGAAACAAGUAAAAAAUCUAAAACAUCUUACUUUGGAGAACGGAUGAAGUAUUAAUUAAAUCUUUCCGACCAAUAGUAUUUGAGAUAAGUAAAAUUAUUUAUAAAACCAAUGCAGUUUGCAAUUAAUUUUCAGCUGAAAUUAAGUAUAAUUUGCAUUGUAAUUGUAAAGUGAAUUUUUUUAUGUAACAAAAAAAAGAUAGAAUGACACUUAUUAUGAAACAGAGAGUAUAUAACAACUGAUUUACACUUUUACUUAGAAUGGUUAUCGAGAAAAACGAAACACUAAGUGCUUAGUUUAUGUAUGUAAGUUAGUUACUCCCCUAAUUUAUGUUUAGUUAACAUGGAUUAUGAAACUGAAACUAUGAUUAAAGCUAUGUGAAAACAUAUAUGCACACAUCUAGUCUGACUCUUCCAAAUCGAAAAAGAUGUUUCAUCUGUAUUCUUCGAAAAAACUUAUAAAGCAGUGACUUAAUAUGACAAUAAUAUGUAAUUUAGUGACUGAUUAAUUAGGAAUAUCGGAGUAAUUGUAAAAUUACGUACUUAGCUAAGUUGUAUAAUAUGACUAUGCUAGUUAUAAUAAAAUGUGUUUUUACUAGCUAGCAUAGUCAUAUUCAUACAACUUGACUAAGUUAUAUGCAAUACUGUAUUCGAUUAAUACAAAUAAAACAGAUUUACUAUUAAGGAAUAGACCCUUUUUCUUGUCUAUAAUGCAUACGUAUGUUAUAUGUCUUAUCUAAGUUCAUUUGGUGAUAUAAUAACAUCGAACUUGGUCGAGCCUGUCUUAAGAAUGCUGUUUACUACAAAUCAACGGGUUCAAAUAGCAACGCAUGACAUGAAUGCAAUGCAUCUUAAUCGAAUAUAAUUGAUAUGGGUUUGGAAUUCAAAGUGGGAAUGAUGCAUACCUAAGACGUACUUUCACUUCACUAAAACCAAAGAAGAAUAAAAUGAUGAAUUAACUUAAAAGUGGGGAAAAAACGAAAGAUUCUUUAGUAAAAGCCAAUUAGUGCAACCCUUUAACAAAAAAGCCAGGCAAUGGAUUGUAGUAGCAGACAUUAAAGACGGGUUAUCUUCUUUUUUGACCAUUUGAUGAUAAUCUUAACUACACAACUCUACCAGGUCAAAUGACGACUGAAGAAUCCUAUGCAAAAUGCAACGUGUCUGUAGACACGUACCCACGCUUAUACUCACUAGAAUGAAUGGUGAGUAACAAACAAAUCUUCAUGUAAGGGAACAGUAUAAAAAUGCUCUGCCGCGAAACAUCCAUUUGUGACAUAAAUUCCAAAACGAACUCGGUGAGCUUGUCAUUCAGGUAUUUAGUGACAACAUAAUUAUUAUUCUCUGGUAACUAUUCAUAUUCUUAAAGAAAGGAACUCAAGAUAUUUUUCUUUUCAAUGUGGUGGUCAACUCAUCAUACCUAUAAUAAUAUAUGCUUCAGUUUAUCCCCCGUUGAAAAUUUCAAAUCUCAUGGUUAUUCACUCUCUUUUUGAGCCAUUGGAUUUUGAUGUGGUCCAUGCAUGCAUCUACUCAUUUCAAACACUUUUUCUUACUCAUUUCAAACACUUUUUCUUACUCAUUUCAAAUACUUGCUAGAAUUGUUGUUUGGUUUGACGUAAGAAUCUCUAUCCCUAGCUAUACUAAAGUUUAUAUAAGAUUAAUUGCAUCAUAUGAUUUGCAUACAAUUUGGAUUUGCUGUCGCAAAUCUCAUCGUCUUGUACGGUCAACAACUCAAGUGCUUCAAACUUAGAUGAGAAUCGACAUUGCGGGAUAAGAGAGUAAUAGUUUAUCAAAAAUAAGGAUGCAUUGAUUAAAACAAACGUACACAGUAGGAGAUCGAUAUCAGAAGUCAGAACAAAGAACUUCCGAUUUUUCUUAUUAGCUUAUAGUCUAAACAUAACCAGACAAAGGUCCUACGAAAUACGAAACGAGUCAAAUCGAGAAAGAAAAACACAAAUAACGACAAACAGGGUCGUUAUCUUGCUUCCAUUCUUCAGUAGUUUUAUCUCUUCUAGUGCAGGCUGCAUAAAAAAGCCAAAGUAUAUGUUAAAUACUGUUUCAAUCAUGAGGUCUCACGUUUUAAAAUUUAAAAUGAAAACUUGUAUUCACGUAAUAAAUUUAGACCCAAUAUACAUGGGGCACGAAACAAUAACUUAUUUUGCAUAUGUUCUGGAUUGGGUCUGGUUAGUUUCUAUAUAUGCCACCUUUUGUCAACGUAUAUAUAGCACACUAGCAUAUAAACCAUGAGAGAUUGUUGUGGCUUGAGAGUAAACUUUUGGAAUUAUUAGAAAUGAAAUUUAUUGAAGAAAUAACAAAUAACCAAAUUUACUUGAUCAAGAUGAUGAAGAAAGUUAGGUCUAGUAGGGUGGAUUGGUGGCAGGUUCCUUUGGGGCGUUGCACCUGAAACACUCUGACCUGCUUGCGAAGUUAUGUUCAUUGCAGCCUGACCUAUACAUACAAAACCAAUCAGCUUCUACAAUCUUCUUAUACAUAUACAAACAUGAAUGAAUAUAAAUACUAAUAUUCUAAAAUUGUCCUCUUAGCUUACGAAGCCUGCGCGCGCAUGAAUUUAUGUAUAUAUAUUAUUACAUGGUGGAGACGCCCAUGUACAUUUUCAUGAACCAUGCACAUGAAACAAACAAAUACAAAAAAAAAAAAAAACUUCUGCUGAAGUGAAGGUGACCCAACGAAGAUUCUAGCUAGAGAUUUGAAGGCUUGCAUCUUCUGUUUGAUGUGAUCAUCGUAGAUGAUGACGCCGUUGAUGUCUUCGAGCUUCCCGUCUACUAAAUCAAAGUCUUUUAGUGAACGGGUGAGUUUGGUUAGAAGUGGGAGUUUCUUUGAGUACCAUUCAAAUGGUAAUGAUUCUUUGUAGGAAUCAACAUGGAUUGAACGGAGGAAGCGACUUGGGUUAGCCCUUACGGUACCCAACAUUUGAAACAGCUACGAGCUAAUAUUCAGACAUUAAGUGAAUAAAUCAGACAAGAAAUGUCAAACUCUCUCUCUCUCUGUCUCUCUCUUGGGAAUUUCUACGAACAGUUUGUGUGCAACUCUUGAAGACGGGAAAAAUCUAAGAGACUCAUCAACAUGUAGGAUUUUCUAACUAGACAUUAAAGUUGUAGUGCAAGAGCAUCUGUAGCGUGAAAGAGAAGUGAAGCGAUUUGGGAGAAGAGAAGAGAAGCUUCAGAUGAGUAGAUAUGGCAAUGUCUGUGAGAGAGGAGAUGAGAAGUUGGAAAGCGAAGAGAGCAGGUUUUGGGUUUGGAUCAUUAAUGGGCCGAAGAAAUAAUAAUUUAAAAAGGCCCAAGAGCUAGUAUUAUUACGGUAUAUUUUUCUUUUUGUUUUACGUACUAAAACGUUUCUAAUAUGUUUUUUUUAUUAACCAAGAAACUGUAAAGUUUCCUCAUAAAAAUUGUAGAAUUUUCAUAUAUAUGUUUGUUAGUAAUACUGUAUAUGUAAUUAAAUCAUUUUUUUUUGUCCAAUUGCACCACCAUGCUUUCCAAAAACCAAGGUAUUACAGUUUCUAAUUUUGUAAUUCUUAAACCAGGGAAAUGGUCUUUUAAUUAUCUUUACUUUUGCUCGUAACAUUCUUAACUUUCCCACGAAAAUCAGAAUUUUGAAAUAUCCAGUUAACUGUUAAGCCUCUCUGUUGUCUCCUAAGCAUUACUCUGUGAGUCUAUCUUCCCCCUCCAACGGAUUUUCAGUUUAUUAAAUGAAAUUUCUGAAUGUUGUGAAGAAUAUAUAGUAUUGAUAUCUUUUAUCAAAAAGGAGAUAUAGUAUUUGAUCAUGUUUAUGUCUUUUUAUAUGAAGAUUUACGAUUUCUGAGUCCGAUUCCUCUUGACUCGUGCGGAUGCCUCUAUUGUUUUUAGUAGAAUUAUACCAUACAUAUUAUUUUUUUUGAUAAUCAAUUAUACCAUACAUAUUACAUACGGCCUUUAAAAGGAAAAAGCGUUUUCAUCCAAAUUAUUGAGAAUGCAUGGUCCUUCCAUGACAACUGCAUACUUUGCAUAAAGAUAUAUAUAAAUCAUUAGGAAGAAUGUGACAAAAAACAAAAGAAAGAGAAGCGAAGAAAGAAGGGCUUAUAAAGAUGAAUAUGCUUUCUUUUAUGUGGGUUAAAGAAAAAUUUUAUGCUUUCUUUUAUGUUUUAAAAACUUUUUCUUAAAGUUGCUGCAAUUUUCUAAAAAUUUACCAAUCUAUUAAUGUUUUUCUUUAACUGUUUUGUAAUGAUAAAUUGUUUUUAUUAUUGUUUUCAAGGGUAUUUGUAAAAUGGAUAAAAGGUCUUCUUUGAUGUUGCUUUUUGCUACAAAAAUUGACUUUAACAGUAUGAAUUCUUGUUUACUUCUUCCGUUUCUCAAUAAAUAUCAUUUUGACACUAUUCACACAGACUAAUAAAGUAGCGGAAAUAUAUGUAAAUUGUUACUAUCUCUGUUCCCGAAAGUAAGAUUUUCUAAAGUGUUCACGCUUAUUAAGAAUUCAAUAAAUGUUUAUAAUUUAUUUUUUCUUUUACUUUAUUAUACACUUUUCAAUAACUUUUCACCAAUGAAAUUUAAUCAAUUCAAAUAUUUUCAUUUAAUGUUUCUUAAAAGCAUAAAAAGUACCUUAAACAUAUAGAAAAUCUAUAUUUGUGAAACAAGUAAAAAAUCUAAAACAUCUUACUUUGGAGAACGGAUGAAGUAUUAAUUAAAUCUUUCCGACCAAUAGUAUUUGAGAUAAGUAAAAUUAUUUAUAAAACCAAUGCAGUUUGCAAUUAAUUUUCAGCUGAAAUUAAGUAUAAUUUGCAUUGUAAUUGUAAAGUGAAUUUUUUUAUGUAACAAAAAAAAGAUAGAAUGACACUUAUUAUGAAACAGAGAGUAUAUAACAACUGAUUUACACUUUUACUUAGAAUGGUUAUCGAGAAAAACGAAACACUAAGUGCUUAGUUUAUGUAUGUAAGUUAGUUACUCCCCUAAUUUAUGUUUAGUUAACAUGGAUUAUGAAACUGAAACUAUGAUUAAAGCUAUGUGAAAACAUAUAUGCACACAUCUAGUCUGACUCUUCCAAAUCGAAAAAGAUGUUUCAUCUGUAUUCUUCGAAAAAACUUAUAAAGCAGUGACUUAAUAUGACAAUAAUAUGUAAUUUAGUGACUGAUUAAUUAGGAAUAUCGGAGUAAUUGUAAAAUUACGUACUUAGCUAAGUUGUAUAAUAUGACUAUGCUAGUUAUAAUAAAAUGUGUUUUUACUAGCUAGCAUAGUCAUAUUCAUACAACUUGACUAAGUUAUAUGCAAUACUGUAUUCGAUUAAUACAAAUAAAACAGAUUUACUAUUAAGGAAUAGACCCUUUUUCUUGUCUAUAAUGCAUACGUAUGUUAUAUGUCUUAUCUAAGUUCAUUUGGUGAUAUAAUAACAUCGAACUUGGUCGAGCCUGUCUUAAGAAUGCUGUUUACUACAAAUCAACGGGUUCAAAUAGCAACGCAUGACAUGAAUGCAAUGCAUCUUAAUCGAAUAUAAUUGAUAUGGGUUUGGAAUUCAAAGUGGGAAUGAUGCAUACCUAAGACGUACUUUCACUUCACUAAAACCAAAGAAGAAUAAAAUGAUGAAUUAACUUAAAAGUGGGGAAAAAACGAAAGAUUCUUUAGUAAAAGCCAAUUAGUGCAACCCUUUAACAAAAAAGCCAGGCAAUGGAUUGUAGUAGCAGACAUUAAAGACGGGUUAUCUUCUUUUUUGACCAUUUGAUGAUAAUCUUAACUACACAACUCUACCAGGUCAAAUGACUGAAGAAUCCUAUGCAAAAUGCAACGUGUCUGUAGACACGUACCCACGCUUAUACUCACUAGAAUGAAUGGUGAGUAACAAACAAAUCUUCAUGUAAGGGAACAGUAUAAAAAUGCUCUGCCGCGAAACAUCCAUUUGUGACAUAAAUUCCAAAACGAACUCGGUGAGCUUGUCAUUCAGGUAUUUAGUGACAACAUAAUUAUUAUUCUCUGGUAACUAUUCAUAUUCUUAAAGAAAGGAACUCAAGAUAUUUUUCUUUUCAAUGUGGUGGUCAACUCAUCAUACCUAUAAUAAUAUAUGCUUCAGUUUAUCCCCCGUUGAAAAUUUCAAAUCUCAUGGUUAUUCACUCUCUUUUUGAGCCAUUGGAUUUUGAUGUGGUCCAUGCAUGCAUCUACUCAUUUCAAACACUUUUUCUUACUCAUUUCAAACACUUUUUCUUACUCAUUUCAAAUACUUGCUAGAAUUGUUGUUUGGUUUGACGUAAGAAUCUCUAUCCCUAGCUAUACUAAAGUUUAUAUAAGAUUAAUUGCAUCAUAUGAUUUGCAUACAAUUUGGAUUUGCUGUCGCAAAUCUCAUCGUCUUGUACGGUCAACAACUCAAGUGCUUCAAACUUAGAUGAGAAUCGACAUUGCGGGAUAAGAGAGUAAUAGUUUAUCAAAAAUAAGGAUGCAUUGAUUAAAACAAACGUACACAGUAGGAGAUCGAUAUCAGAAGUCAGAACAAAGAACUUCCGAUUUUUCUUAUUAGCUUAUAGUCUAAACAUAACCAGACAAAGGUCCUACGAAAUACGAAACGAGUCAAAUCGAGAAAGAAAAACACAAAUAACGACAAACAGGGUCGUUAUCUUGCUUCCAUUCUUCAGUAGUUUUAUCUCUUCUAGUGCAGGCUGCAUAAAAAAGCCAAAGUAUAUGUUAAAUACUGUUUCAAUCAUGAGGUCUCACGUUUUAAAAUUUAAAAUGAAAACUUGUAUUCACGUAAUAAAUUUAGACCCAAUAUACAUGGGGCACGAAACAAUAACUUAUUUUGCAUAUGUUCUGGAUUGGGUCUGGUUAGUUUCUAUAUAUGCCACCUUUUGUCAACGUAUAUAUAGCACACUAGCAUAUAAACCAUGAGAGAUUGUUGUGGCUUGAGAGUAAACUUUUGGAAUUAUUAGAAAUGAAAUUUAUUGAAGAAAUAACAAAUAACCAAAUUUACUUGAUCAAGAUGAUGAAGAAAGUUAGGUCUAGUAGGGUGGAUUGGUGGCAGGUUCCUUUGGGGCGUUGCACCUGAAACACUCUGACCUGCUUGCGAAGUUAUGUUCAUUGCAGCCUGACCUAUACAUACAAAACCAAUCAGCUUCUACAAUCUUCUUAUACAUAUACAAACAUGAAUGAAUAUAAAUACUAAUAUUCUAAAAUUGUCCUCUUAGCUUACGAAGCCUGCGCGCGCAUGAAUUUAUGUAUAUAUAUUAUUACAUGGUGGAGACGCCCAUGUACAUUUUCAUGAACCAUGCACAUGAAACAAACAAAUACAAAAAAAAAAAAAAACAAACAAUACCUGGGGCAAAUCCAAUCUCCAGAUUUCCAAGAAGAGCGGCCCAUGCCUCCGCCACCACCACUACUGCUACCAAAUCCAAAAAGGCCACGUCUUGGACCAUCACUCAAGUCCAUAAACCCGGUGGCUAGAGCGGCAGCCGAGCGUGAAGACUCAUCUUUUGCGGCACCACACUUGAAACAGCUGGACCUGCUUGCAAAAUUGUGAGUCCCGCAAUUUCCAAGGUUGCAGUACCAAUCACCGGGUCUCACGUCAGGCCCGGUAUUGAAAGCAAAAGCGUUGCUGAUCGGGCGGCUUGCGAAACUGCUGACUAAGUCGGUAAUGCUUCUCGGUCUGGGCUCUCUGCAUCGUUGGCAUGACUCCCUUCUUUGGAAGUUGAGGUGGCUACACGAUAGGCAGUUCCAGUCUCCUGGCCUAUUCAUCUUCUUCUAAUCCCCCAUAGAUAAACAAAUGACACAAUAUUAAAGGUAUAUAUAUUCACAAGUGUAGCCUAAUAUUUGAUGAUUACCUGGGGAUGUUAGCUGAAAACAGUAAGGAGAGUAGAAGUGAUAUUUUGGUGUUAGAGCGUAUAAGUGUGAUAUGUCCCCAUAUAUAUAUACAUCGGCAAAGCAAAAGGUUCUUCUUUAUCAACCGGGAACAUAUUUUGAAGUGAAAAUAGGGUUUCAAAUGGUUUUAACUUUCUUAUUUUUGUUUCAGCUUUAAUGCAUUUCCUUUAGAGCAUCUCCAAAAUGGAACUCUAUUUUGAAGUUUCCAAAACUUUAUAUUUGAAGUUUCAAUGUGUUCUUCUCCAAAAGUAAAACUUCAAACCUAACUUCAAAAUUAUUUAUAUUUUACACUAUGAUCCUUAUGUUUGUCAUAGUUGAUGUAAAUUCAUAAAACUUCUAUAAAUAACUAAUACAUAUAUAUAAAUAUUACAAAAAUAUUAAUUAAAAAAAAAUCUUACACUAAAAUAUAAAAUUAUAAAUAAAAGUACAUAAUUAAAUAUUAAACUGCAAGCAAAUAUUACAUUAUUGCAUAAAAUUAUUUCCAUAAUGCUCCCAUAUAUGAUCAACUAUUUCGAAGUAAGAAAUGAUUCUCUUUAUUUUUUAUUUGUAGAUUACGAGCCAAAAAUUGUUGAAACCGGAUAUCCUCAUAAUAUGUCUGCUGAUAGUUUGAUAUCAUCAAACGAAAAAAAUCCUUGAUCUUUUAAACGAAAGUACAACAAGCAGGGAAAAAGGUCAUGAGAUGAUUGAAUUACGACUGCAAAAUGAAGCAAAAAAGUUAGCUUUUAAAGAAAUAAAAGAGGAAAAUAAAAUAUUGCUAAAAAACUUAGCUUCUAUCGAUGACGUUAAUAUUCGUGAAUACAUUCGAUCUGAACAAGAAAGAAUCAUACGAAAAAUGCGUCAAGAGCAACAACAACAAUCAUCUUCGGUUACACAAAAUUUGUUGAACAAUAUUUUGGAGAUUUUGGAGGUUCCGGAGCAAAUUUACCAGACUAUUAGUGUUGUUAUAAUAUUUAAAUUUGAGUAAUAAUUAUGUCUUCAUGUGUCUUUUUAAUAAGUUUUUAUUAUGGUUUUUUGUAAUAUUCUUGUUGUUUAAUUCUAGUUUUAAAAUAUUAUAAAUCUUGUUUUAAUUUUUUUUAUUUAAUUUCAUGUGUAAAACUUAAGUUUAUAUAACAAAUUUGAAAUAUUUAUGAGAUAUAAAAGUUUUAAGGAUUAAAACAAUAAACAAAAAAAAUAUUUAAGAAUUAUAAAUAUGAUGUAUAAUUGUAAGGACCAAAAUGCAAAUAAAAAGAUGAAACUUCAAAUUUGAAGUUUUGAAAAGUGAAACUCUAUAUUUGGAGUUUCACUCUUCAAAACUUCAAAUUUGAAGUUUUGAAGUUCCUUUUUGGAGAGCAAAAAACUCUAUAUUUGGAGUUAUAGAGUUUCUUUUGGAGAUGCUCUUAGAGUUGGGUUUCUCCGUAAACUACGUUUUCCCAAAAGAAACAAAAGAUUAUCCAUACAUAUCGAGGACUUUAAAAUAUCAAUUUAAGACCCCACUAGUUUAAAGCUUCCAAUAUCAGCCGUUUUAUUAUGCUUGUGCUUCACAAAAGUUAUUACAUAUAUAGUGAUAAAAUCAAUAUUCACAUAGUUGUCAGAUGUGUAUUAUCAUAUACAUCAAUAUUAUACUCAUUUUUAGACACCCAAUUGUUUUUAAAUUGAUGACUAUAGUCUAUAUAUGUAGUUUGCAUCAUAUACUGCGUGUAUGAGUUGUAAACAAUCGAAAACAUGUUUGAAACUUAUGUUGAUAAUCCAAAUUGCGUAACUUUCUUAAAAUCCGCCGAUUCAACUAGGUUCAUGAUCAUGGGUGGAUAAUAAGGUCUCGUGCGUGUGUCAGUAGUAAAAAGGAUGCCUCAAGAAGAAAAGAAAAAUCUAAAGCAAAAGUUGCAUGGCAACAGUUUCAAGAACGUAUUGCUUCCAUAUAUAAACCGCGGAAAUUAAACAUUAAAAGAAUAUUUACUUCUAGUAUUUUCAGUAAGUGUUAUCUCCAUUUUUUUUCUAGCAGUAUCGAGUUACUCGUGUAUCCCAUCAGAACGUGUUCGCGAUUCUCAGCCAAAACCCAAGAAAACAACAUCAAAUAUAUAUAUAUANNNNNNNNNNNNNNNNNNNNNNNNNNNNNNNNNNNNNNNNNNNNNNNNNNNNNNNNNNNNNNNNNNNNNNNNNNNNNNNNNNNNNNNNNNNNNNNNNNNNUUUUUUUUUUUUUUUUUGAUAUUUCAUAUAUAAAAAACAUAUUUUUGAGACCACAAUGUUUACAGUACUUUGAUUACCUCCACAAAAUAUUCUAAAUAAAUCAUCCCCUGUAUAUUAAUCAUGGAGCAUUAUAACAUGUUUUCGUAGCCAAGUGUCAUCACGAGAAUGAUUCUUAGAAUUGUUAGAAAAAUAAGUUGGUCCAUAUAAACAUAUAUUAUGUUUUUCAUUAAACUAACUAUUAAAUUAAUUAAUAGUGUACAAAAUAAUAUAUUUUUUUUCUUAAAUAAAAGCUACGGAUUUACCUAAUAUGGUAAACAUAUAUAUGACAAUUAAUGAUUAUGAAUAAUACAUAUUUGAUUAAAAAAAAGUCUAACAUCUCUCACUUUUGUUUAAUUUUAUACUAUUAAAAGAAAUUAAACAAUCACAUUAAGCAUAUAAUAAAAAAAAUUAGAUUUUUUCUUAUACGUUAUAUUUUGAAUUUUUAAAAACGAGUAUAAAUUACUAAAUGGUAAAAGUCUCACAUUGAAAAUUUUGUGAUUAAUGGUUUUAUUUUAUUUUUUCUUCAAGCAAGAUACAAAUGAUCAUAUAUCUUAGGUGUGGGCGUUCAGAAACAUGUUCGAGUUUGUAUCGGAUAUUUCAGUAUAAAGGUAUAGAACCCGUUCGAGUAUUUCUACACUUCGAGUCGGGUUCGGGUAUUUUAUGUUCGGGUUCAGAUAUUUUGGGUCGGGUUUGGAUAUUUAAAUUUUGAAGAAAAAAUAAAUAAAUUAUUCAUUUUUUAAGUUUAUGUAUUUAAAAUAUAUUUAACUUAACCAGUUUUCUAAUUUUUAAAAGGUUAAACUAUUAAAAGGUUUGGAGACAAAACUUUAAAAAUAGAAAGACACUAAUUUAGUUGUUGUUUUUAGAUUUUAGAUUCAAUUUUUGUUAAUGCAAGAAACAAGAGUUUGAUAUGUAUUUUAAGUGAAUAGCAAAUGAUUUUGUCCAUAAUUAUAUGUAUAUUAUCUAAUUUUGAGCAAUAAACAUCAUUAAUAUAAAUAUUUUGAGUAAAAUGAGAGAAAUAAACUAUAAAUAUAAGGUUAAGUAUACUUAUGUUUGGUUAUCUUCGGAUAUCCAUUCGGGUUUGGAUAUUACUCGUUCAGAUUCAGAUAUUACCCGAACGGGUGAAAUAAGUAAUUUUUUUUGUUGUUCUAGAAUUAGAUGAUUUUUAGACUGAGCUGAUGAAUAUAUACUAGACAUAUGUUUAUAUUUCAAGUCUGCACGCAUAUUCUAUAACAGCUUGAUAUAUUAGAUUUGAACAAAGUUUGCCGGUGAUUUUGUUUUCAAAAUUUUGAUUCUUAGAUAUGAAUCUGGAAUAAAACUAAUUUUUACAUAUGUCCAUUUUUUAAAUUGACACAUAUGUAAUUCACCGAAUUCAUAGAAUAAGUUGAAAAAAAAAACUUAACUCAUAUCAAUGAAAUAAAGAACAGAACGAAAUCACAAUUUUAUAGAGGUAGAAAAUGAAAUCAGUUAUAGAUAGUCAAUAGUAAACAAAUUGGGAGAAGAAAACCUAAUCCUCUUUCGUCAUCAUACAAUCAAUGUUGCCUAUUUGGUUUCGGUGAUUUGUGUCAGCCGCAAAACUUAAUUUUCUUUUGUGCAUAUGAAGUCUUAAAAAUAAUUAAAAUGAGAUGUAAUACGUUCACUCUUCAACAACGAUGAUAUAUUAAAGAGACCAACAUUACACACCCUCACUCCUAGAUUCGCCUUUAUAUAUUUAUUUUGAAAAUUUUCAAUUUGUUUCUUUUACUAGUAAGAAACCAAACGAUGUAUCGCAGCGUGUGUGUUUCAUCAAGCCUCUUUUCUGUUGAGUAAUUUCCAAAUUUGAUGAUAACAAAACGUUACAAAAGUAUUUGCAUGGUUUGGGCUAUUUCUAGAUACAAAAUUACUUGCAGAAGGUCACACACUGUUACGUUAGAACUCUGAAACAUAGAUCUCGAAACUAAAUUUCAAGUUUUAGUUUGAACAAUCAAAUUGGUGUUUAGUUUGAACAAUCAAAUUGGUAGUAUUGGGUUUGGUGCAUGAUUUAUGUCGACCCUUUUGGAUAAGGCCCAUAUUGUUCAAUGUGACGGAUACACCAAGUUAUUAACACUGAAUACAUCUGUGUACACACUCAUUCUCCUACCAUGGAUUAAAAAACAUAAAGUCGAAAAUAGUAAUGAAAACGAAUGUAUUGGUAAGCCAUAAAUGAGUUGGUUGUUCGUUUUAGUUUUCUCUUAAGAAAAGUCCACACGAAAGUUACGAUUGCCAUAUCUUCACUGUCCCUUUUGGUUUGAUUUUUUGAAACUUUUCUCGAUCGAAGUGAAAAAUUUCAUGGCCACAUGACACCUAAAUCCCGUCAAAACAUGCUGGAGACCGUCCUUCAUUAAUGGUAAGUUGAUUUGGAUAGACAUAAUUGAUUUUUAAAUAGGGAAGUUACCAUAACUCUAAGAGAUUGAUCAAAAAGAACAUACUCUCAUGUACAGAGAUGUUUGGUCCAUCGCAUUACGGAUAUGUUCUUUGGAAUCGACUGAUGGAUAGAAAAUGGACAUGCACCAAGCUGGGAGAACACAUCAAAAAGUCUCAAGUAAAACAGAGGAAAAUUAUAAACACUCUCCAACACAUAAGGAGUAUGUUAACGAAUAAAGAUAGGGCUAUGCAAACUCUUUGUGCAAUAUUCAAAACCACGUGCCGACUUAUUAUUGAUUGAUGCUUUGUACAUGAAAUUGAUCUCCAACAUUCUCUAUUCUCUUAUAUUAUAAGUUAUACACUCUCGUAUAUAUUAAUCUUGGAGCAUUACAACAUGUUUUCGUAGCCACGUAUCAUUACAAGAAUUAUUCUUAGAAUUGUUAGAAAAACAAGUUGGUCCAUAUAAACAUAUACUAUGUUUUUUAUUAAGCUAACUAUCAAAUUAAUUAGUAGUAUAAUAAAAGCUACGGAAUUACCUAAUAUGAUUAACAUAUGUAUGACAAUUAAUGAUUAUGAAUAAUACAUAUUUGAUAACAAUUUUUCUAACCUCUCUCUCUUUUAUUUAAUUUUAUACUAUUAAAAGAAAUUAAACAAUCACAUUAAGCAUAUAAGAAGAAUUUACAUUUUUCUUAUAUGUUAUAUUUUGAAUUUUUAAAAACGACUAUAAAUUACUAAAAAUGGUAAAAGUCUCACAUUGAAAAUUCUGUAAUCAAUGGGUUUAACUUUUUUUUUGUUCAAGCAAGAUACAAAUGAUCAUAUAUCGUAGGGGUGGGUGUUCGGAUAUACGUUCGGGUUCGUAUCGGAUAUUUCAGUAUAAAGGUAUAGAACACGUUCGAGUAUUUCUACACUUCGAGUCGGGUUCAAGUAUUUUAUGUUCGGAUUCGGAUAUUUUGGAUCGGGUUUGGAUAUUUAAAUUUUGAAGAAAACAUAAAUAAAUUAUUCAUUUUUUAAUUUUUUGUAUUUAAAAUAUAUUUACCUUAGCCGGAUUUCUAAUUUUUAAAAGGUUAAACUAUUAAAAGGUUUGGAGAUAAAACUUUAAAAAUAGAAAGACACUAAUUUAGUUGUUGUUUUGAAAUUUUAGAUGCAACUUUUCUUAAUGCAAGAAACAAGAGCUUGAUAUGUAUAUUAAGUGAGUAGCAAAUGAUUUUGUCCAUAAUUAUAUGUAUAUUAUCUAAUUUUGAGCAAUAAGCAUCAUUAAUAUAAAUAUUUUGAGUAAAAUGAGAGAAGUAAACUAGAAAUAUAGGGUUAGUAUACUUAUGUUUUGUUAUCUUCGGAUACAGUGGUGGAGCCAGCCUAGUUUUUUGAGGAGGGUCAAACUCUUAAUUUGUAUAUAUUACAUGGGUCAACAUACCCACAAUUUGUAAAAUUUUCCUUAUUUUUAGUACAAAUUCAUGUAAUUUUUUUUUAUGUUUUAAAAUCAUGUGGGUCAUUUGACCACCCUCCUAACCAGCUACCUCCGCCACUGUUCGGAUAUCCAUUCGGGUUCGGAUUCAGAUAUUACCCGAACGGGUGAAAUAAGUAAUUUGUUUUGUUGUUCUAGAAUUAGAUAAUUUUUAGACCGGGCUGGUGAACAUAUACUAGACAGACGUUUAUAUUUCGAGUCUGCACAUAUAUUAUAUAACAGCUUGAUAUAUUAGAUUUGAAUACAGUUUCCGGUGAUUUUAUUUUUAAAAAUUUAAUUUUUAGAUAUGUAUCGGGAAUGAAACUAAUUUUUACAUAUGUCCAUUUUUUAAAUUGACACUUAUGUAAUUCACCGAGUUCAUAGAAUAAGUUUUUUUUUUGUCAUCAGAAUAAGUUAAAAAAAAAAACUUAACUCAUAUCAAUGAAUGAUAUGAAACAAAGAUCAGAACGAAAACACAAUUUUAUAAAAGUGAAAAAUUAAAUCACUUAUGAAAAGUCAAUAGUAAACAAAUUGGGAGAAGAAAACCUAAUCUUCUUUUAUCAUUAUACAAUCGAUGUUGCCUAUUUAGUUUUGGUGAUUUGUGUCAGCCGUAAAACUUAAUUUCUUUUAGUGCGUAUGAAAUCUUAAAAAUAAUUAAAAUGAGAUGUAAUAUGUUUCCUCUUCAACAACGAUGAUAAUUUCCUUUAGUGCGUGUAAAGAACUAUUAAAACAAUUUCCUUUAGUGCGUAUAAAGAACUAUUUUUCGCUCACUUAUUUAGUUUAAUAGAAGGAUAUCAAAUGUUUUUAAUACAAUAUCAUAAUUAUACGAAACAUAUGGUCAUUGUUUUAAUUAUAUGGAGCCUGUCGGUCCAUUAAUAUAACAAAACUGUGAGAGGAUGUAUAACUAUAAACUUUCAUUAAAUGGUCGUUUUGUUAAUUGAUUGAUGUCAACUGUAUAUAUGUGCGUUUCCUUACCCUAAAUUCGAAGUGAUAACUGCAUAUUUUUUUGAUACAGGAGAUGAUUUUCUUUCGUACGUAACUUUAAGUAUAAUGUAACUACACCGAACAGAAAAACAGGUGAAAUUAAACACACAUGUCCACACAUGGACAGAAGGAGCAUUUAAAGUAAAGGAAAGUGGUGGUUAGAGAGUAUGUGAUAUAAUUAAUCGGCCCAAAUAGAUUGGUAAGUGUUAGCCGCCAUGCUAAUAACUUCAACCUCAGAUCUUUCUACUAAAACCAUUUUAUUAUAAAUUCUACGUACACUCCCACUUCAUCUCCUCAAAUUCAUCAAAACACACUACAAGAAAAUGUUGACUCGUCUCCCUUUGAUAUGUUUUCUUGUUUCAGUCACGGCCAUUGCGGCUGACUUAACACCGGAGCGUUAUUGGAACACUGCCUUACCAAACACUCCCAUGCCAAACUCUCUCCGUCAUCUUUUCACGCCAGGUUACUGUAAAAUCUUUUUACUUUAUAUAUGUUUUUUCUAUGUGUCCCAAGCUGAUUGGUUACACAAUCUCUGAUAGUUUGUGAUUAUGUAUGUUAAGAACAUCUCCAAACCAUCUUUAUAUAUGUUUGUAUGAACAUUUAUAAACAAAUUUGUUUCAACAUACACUAUAUGUUCUCUUUAAAUGUAAACAUUUUUUUUUCUCUGUAUGUCAAAAUAAAAUUUAUUUAUUUUUCAGUAUAAAUAAAUAUUAAUUUAGAAAAUACACUAAAGUAAAUAUUUACAAUUCAAAAAAUAUUUUUAUUUUAUUUUAGAGGAAAAUAUAACAAAAUAUAUAUUGUAGAUUUCACUGAUGAGAAGAGCACCGACGUCCAAGUAGGGAAAGGAGGCGUGAACGUUAACGCCGGAAAAGGCAAACCCGGCGGAGGAACCGCCGUUAACGUUGGAAAAGGAGGUGUGUACGUGGACACAGGCAAGGGCAAGGGAACACACGUGAGCGUUAGCGGCGGAAAAGGUCCUGGAGGAGGCGUUGGAGUCCACACCGGACAGCCUGGAAAGAGAACCGACGUAGGAGUUGGUAAAGGCGGAGUUAUAGUGCACACGCGACACAAGGGCAGGCCGGUCUACGUCGGUGUAACGCCAGGACCAAACCCUUUUGUGUAUAACUAUGCAGCGAGCGAGACUCAGCUCCACGACGAUCCCAAAGCGGCUCUCUUCUUCUUGGAGAAGGAUAUGGUUCCUGGAAAAGCUAUGAACCUCAGGUUUAAUGCGGAGGAUGGUUACGAUGGUAAAACGGCGUUCUUGCCACGUGGGGAGGCGGAAACGGUGCCGUUUCAGUCGGAGAAGUUUUCGGAGAUUUUGAAUACUUUCUCGGUGAAACCAGGUUCGGAGGAAGCUGAGAUGAUGAAGAAGACUAUUGAGGAGUGUGAAGCGAAAAGAGUUGGGGGAGAGGAGAAGUAUUGUGCGACUUCUUUGGAGUCUAUGGUCGAUUUUAGCGUUUCUAAACUUGGCAAAUAUCACGUCCGUGCUGUUUCCACUGAGGUAACAAACACUUCUCUUCUUUUUAUGGUUUAUUAUUACGUUUAGGUUUGACAUAAAUCAAAUAAAGUCAAAACUGAAUGAAAUUAAUAUUUGUAAUUAGGUUUGGUUACGUUUGAUUAGGUUAAAUUUGAUGAGGUUUGGGUUGUAUACUUGUGUCUACUUUAUCUCCGGUUAGGAUUCGGUUUUAGCUAGUAAAUGAUUCAUUCAACAUCGUACAUCUUGUUUGCUUAAAAUACUAUAUUAUAGAAGAGAAAUAAAAGUUAAAAACUACUUUUUAUUUUAUAUUUGGGUUUGAGUUUAGUGAUUAGAAUUUAGGGUUUAAUAUAAAGUAGAAGGCAAGAUUUUGAUAAAAUUUUAAAGUUUGGAGUAACUUAAUCAUUUCACUCUUUAAUUAAUGUUAUUUUUGAGAUUUUUUUUGUUUGUGUGCUAUUUUUUCAUAAUUGUUUUUUUGUGUUAUUUAAAUCAUGUGCUCUGUAUAUAAGUAAGUGAACAUAAAAAAAAAGAAAUUUAAGUCUGGUAUGAUUUGGUUUUACACUUUUACUUGGUUCAGUUUAGUUUCAUUUGAUUUAUAUGUCCACGCCUUGCUAAUACUCGAGUUAAUUGAUGUAACCUUGGUUACUACAGGUGGUUGAGAAGAAUGCACCGAUGCAAAAGUACAAAAUCGCAGCACCCGGAAUAAAGAAGUUGUCGGACGACAAGUCAGUGGUGUGUCACAAACAGAAGUACCCAUUCGCGGUGUUCUACUGCCACAAGGCGAUGAUGACGAGCGUGUAUGCGGUUCCACUCGAAGGAGAGAACGGUCUGCGGGCUAAAGCGGUUGCGGUUUGCCACAAGAACACCUCGGCUUGGAACCCAAACCACUUGGCCUUCAAAGUGCUUAAGGUGAAGCCUGGGACUGUUCCGGUCUGCCAUUUCCUCCCUGAGACCCAUGUUGUUUGGUUCAGCUAUUAGAUAGAUAUGCUUUCAUAUAUUGUGGCUUAUGUAAUAAAUAAUAAUGCCGUCCCUUCCAUAUAGUCAAAGAAUUAAGACAUAAGUUUUCACUUUGCAUGGUUUGUCUUCUGUGGCCUGAUUCAUUCUUCUUUUGCAAGAAUAUACUGUAUGAUAAUAAAACUAGUCUUCAAAUAUUAAAAGAGCUCGUCCGUAGAAAACGGUAAUUUUCGUAAUGGGCCCAACGUUGCCAGAGUAACAUGAAAAGACCCCAAAGAAAAGAGAAAAUGUCAGAAGUGGGAUGUGAACCCACGCCCUCUUACGAGGACCAGAACUUGAGUCUGGCGCCUUAGACCACUCGGCCACCCUGACUGUUGUAAUUUAUUUGAAAUUACGGAUAAAUCUAAUCAAACAUAAGUAUAAAAUAAUAUAUUGAAAGAGCCUAAAACAUCUAGAAUGAAUGAACACAACUGAAUCAAACAUAUACAAAGAAACUUAACUUACCAUUCUGCUCCCAAGUCCAAAACCCUCUUAACUAAAUCAAAAGCUUGGUCUAUCAACCAACAUCCAAAAUAGACGAAACGAUGUUGUCUCCUAUAAAUGCUUUUACCACAUCUCAAAACAUUGGUUUUUAGCAGAGAGCUGAGUUCCAAGUCACUCUUUGUCUCAUCCUGUUUUUUGGCACUAGACUUCCACAGUACAUGGUUGGUUUCUUAUACUGUAGUAUCAAUUCAUUUAACGUAUGGUCAAAUAUGAAAAUAUCUCCAUCUCUGGUCCACUUUAUCUCAAAACGUAGUUUGAAUCACAUACCACAAGUCGAGUAAAAUCCUUGUACAUUUGCUAUUGUUUUUUUUAAUGAAAUUUUCACUUGACCAUAUGGUGCGUGUAUGAUGAAGUCAUCCUAAUGAAUAUCACCCACUUGUAGUAGCAAUGUAAAGCUAAAUACAAUACCAAGCCAUUGAGUCUCUUCUUUGAUAAAAGCUUUACAGAAGGUUGUUGGUGUAUUUACGAGGGAACAGAAUUGUUUUGAGACUUAAAUGAGCGUUGGGCCUUGGCCCAUUUGGAGUCUCCACUUCACUAUUACCAGUUCAAAUAUGUAAUGUGUACUUCCAAAAAAUAUAAAUUAUAAAGUAAUGAUGAUUUAUUAUGCAUUUUGAAAUAAAAUGUAUAUAAUUGAAUUUUGCCAUACAUUGUGAUUUCUUGUUAAGCUUUUGUAAACUGAUGAUCGUGUAUUAUUAUAAUCAUAUACUAGAUGUAAUUUAAAUGGUUUUAGUGAUUGUCAAAAAAAAAUUGGUUUUGGUUUGCCAUGUAGUAUUCCUCGAACCAACCACAUAAACUAACGACUCAAGAGUGACAAAGGAGACAUGUUUUAACGGAAAACGACUAGAACUUAUUACAGAAUAUGCCAGCUAACAAGCGCUCAGCUGGUUAAUACUGAACAAGAGAUGAGACUCGAGAGAUGAGCCCUCGAUUGAAGGAGCCAAUGACACUAUGGACUCAAGUACAUUGCUCUUAAAAUUGCAUCUGAUAGCAAACCAACUUUCAAAAUCCUGCUUCGGUUCAGCCUCGGGUUUGGCGAGUGUUGUAUGAUUUGCAGUCUGGACAUUUCUGAGCCACCACAUGGUACUGCACCUCCGAUUUUUUCCCACAGUCGUUGCAGAGGAUCUGAACCUGUUUUGUGUCCAUCAAAUGAUUUAGUUAUAUAUAAUCUGAUGAUUUUGAAUUCUUUACUUGGUUGAGCCUGAGGUGUAAUAAGAGUAAGUUUAGACUAACCAUUUUGUUCUGGUAUGGUUCUGGCAUUGGUGUAGCAGCAAUCUCCACGUCAAAUUUCUCCCACACCUUUGACAUGUCGCAUACAGAUUUUGAGCAAAGCGGGCACGCGUAUCUGCAGAGCACAGUUUACAGUGUUGUCAGUUGAAAGACAGCUACAAAUAACAACCCUGAGUUAUUUAUUACACUUACUGGUAAUGUUCUCUCAUUUCCUCCAAACACUUCUGAUGGAUGGUGUGUCCGCAGGGCAAAACUGUUACAUCGUUCCUUGAUUCAAACAGGUACUACAACAAAACCAUUAUUGCCGUUUUGUUUAGAGGGAUGCUCAAUUAGUGGAAGAAAAAUUGAAAGAAAAGAUACCUCAAAACAAAUGGGGCAGUCGUGAUGCAUUGCUCCUUCAACACAAGGGUGGCUGUUCUUGAGAAGGAUUGAGUAACAACAGCCUGGUUGAUAGUCAGAUUGUACAAGUCAAGAGAUUUAGUGGUGGCCAGCGUAAAAAAGUUCGAGGUUAUCUGAUGCAGAAAUUGGCUUACCACACUUGUAACAGUGAAAGAAAUUUUCAUGUCCGCCGAUUCUGGAACAAAAGAAGUAAAAAAGUUCCAAGUUAUGAACAAAUAUCUAACGUGAUAGAGUGAACAAAUCUUGUUGUAUGUUAAAGACGAGUCCAAGAACGUACCUGCAGAUUCCACAGCCGUCGCAGUGAUACUGCUUUUUAGAUGUCUGGAAACAAGAUAGAACAUAAUGGUUAACCAGCAGUAAUAGAGAAGCAAGAAAGAGAAAAUGAUCCAACAAUCAAGCUUAGGAAUAAAUUGUCUCAGGAAACUCACAUCAUCAUCGUAGAGCUUGCAGGCUUCACAGAAGUACUUCCCCAUGCACACUCCGCAGUUGGUACAAUUUUGGCGAACCUGGUGAAAACAGAGAAAACAGAGUUAAAUCUUCAAUAGAGUUGAGAAAAUGUUUGAUACCAUCCUAACUGAAACUUCUCAUUACUAAAAGCAGUAAACGUUCAGAAAAAGCAUAGAGUUUAGAACACACCUCUUGUUCAGUGCCACAGAGUAAGCAAAUAACCUGUGAAGACGAAGAUAGAGAUUCUGGAAUCAAGCAUAGAAGAAUAAACAUAGAGAAAACAAGGUAUUACAAACAACUUUACCUGUUCAACUUUCUGGCGAGGAAUAUCAUGACUCUGUUUCGGAUCUGCACUUAUAUUGUUCUGCUUCCAAGACAUGAUGAUUACACAUGUCAGCUUACAAAUCUAAUAAGAGUGAAAUCUAAAACCUGAAAUAAGAAACUCUACCUUUGCCUCAUAAUGACAGUGAUGGCAACCAAAGAUCUCAUCACAGCAAGGAGAUCUAAUGCAACACCUUCUUCUGUAAUGAGGACAUCUGCAAGAACAUUGGGAGAAAUUAGUUCAAGAGACACGCUCAGCUCUGGGGGAAUUCAAUGAGGAGGCAAAAAUUACCCAUGCUCCAUUAGUCCUCUGUCAAGGACUUCUUUUAAUGAUGACUCUGCCGCCUCGAGUUCGAGAAUCAACGACUCAGUUUCUUCAUUGCGUGAAUGAGGGCUGAGCAUCUCACUCUUCUCUCGGUCAGUCUUCUGUGGCUGCUCAACGAAAUGGUUGAAAUGUACCCUCUCCAUUACGAACUAUCUGUGAAUGAUACUGGCUAGCUGAUGGAAAAGCUUAUGUAACCUGCAAGCAAGAAAAGAUUUAGAACACAUAUUCAUCAUUUCCAAGUAAUAUGUCACCUGAAAAAACUGGAUGAACUGUUGCUUCCAUCUACAUUGCAGUAGACCAAUCCAAUCAUCACCAAGACAAUCCAGUUACGAAACGGCUCCAAUAAGCUUUCUCCAAGAGGCAAGUAACAUCAAAACAAGAAGAUUUACAAAGUAUAAAAACUAAACACAGCCCUCUUGGUUGAUGGAGCCUUCGUACAGAAAGAAAAGCUUAGCUCACUUCAGUUCUUGAAAUUCUGGGAAAACAUAUUCGGUUUAACCGGAUAUCCCCAACCUAUUGUAAAAGCAAGGUAAAGACUAUCAAACAACGUUUGGGACUGACGUAAAAAAAAUUGGAAUAACCGGGUUAAAAAAGAUGGGUCGGUGUCCAAAGAGGACAGACCUACCUCCCAUUGCCACUCUGCACCAAUAUUACUUCAGUAUGAAUCAGAAUUUUUUACUAAAGGAAUUAAAAGCCUGAAGAGUACUCUUUAGUUAUCAUCCAUCUUUGAAUCUGGCCUGAAGGAUGUACCAGUAACCAAAGGGACUAAAAAGACACGAGAACAUUCUACUAAGUUCACAAGCUCCAAAUGCUCUAAGGGAAACUCAAGGUGACACUUAGAUGAGACAACAGUGAGCAACCAGGACACUUUCUUCAAGAGCAACUACGAGGAACCUCUGUCCAUCCACUUUAGAUAAUAAACAGAGAAGGUUUAGGAGUUGCAUGAUCAAGGUAUGUAGGAUGAAGACAGCACAAGCACAAGUCUGGGUUAGCGAAGAGAAAGAGCAACACAAGAAGGAAUGUUUCCAAAGAAUCAAUACUUGUAGUAGAUCCAAGGCUCUCAGACUCUCACCUUGAAUCUCUGAGACACACACACAACAACUCCAACGAUGAUUCAUGAGCACGGUUCACCAAAUCCAAACACGUGUCAGAUAGAUUAUUAGGUCUAUGACCCAACCUAUUUGCAUUACCACCUAGAUUCUUGAAAACAAGAGUCUUAAGCUACAGCUUCUUCUGAACCAAAUCAAUCAAAGCUAAAAGCGUAUGAGAACAAUCAAUCACCAGAGAAAACAUCCAAGGGAACGAACGAACGAACGAACGAAGAAUCUAAAUCACGGAAACCUACAAAUAGAUAAAUUAAAAAUCACACACUACGAAAUAGAUCACGAACUUUCGAUCAGGCGAAUCUCCUUCCACCGAUUCGAUAGUCUCAGAGAGAGAGACGCUGCGAGAUUUUCCGACGGUUACUCCAGGAGCUCUGAGCGAGAAGCGAUUCGAUCUUAAGAGGAAACUUAAUGAGGACACCUUCUUUCCCUCCGCGUGUGGGGUGGUUUAUAUAGUGAGGCUUAGACUUUUUUCCAGAUACUUCGAAUUAUUGCCGUUUUCCGGCGCAAGCGAAAAUAUAUUUGUUCCUUUAAUUAUUUUUUAUUUGCUUUGUGUGUUGACAGCUAAAAUAUCUACCACCAUUCAUUUCCAUGAUUCCCCCCCCUAAGUUUUAAUAUCUUUUACCUCAAAAUGAAUAAUGUGAAGAGUGAAAAAUAAAUACAUUACACACGUCGCCAGCUAUUUUUCCAAACGUCUAAAUAAUAUUUAGAUUUCCACAACUGGAAUCAAUUAGUACAAUCUUUUCAACAGUUAAUGAAAAGAUUGCAUUUUUCAUUCUUUGUUUUUAGACGAAAAAACGUAUUUAGAAAAAAAUAUGUGAAUGAACUGAUAUUUUCACAUUAUUGCGUGGGAAAGGUUACUUACGUGUUGAACUUGAUUAACUUAUUGCGUGAGAUGGGGAUAGUGACGUGGCUUCUGAAUGAUUAGUUUGGAUUCUGAUUAGUUUACCUGUUUACGUAUUUACAAUACAUUCCCCUCCCUCAAGCUUAUCUUUAUGAUGUAGACACGUUAUCAACUCUUCUUCUCAAUCCUCUCCACCAAUACCAAUCACAUUUCCAUCUCAUAAAAAAUAAGUAGAUUUCUAUAGUUUGGGUGGCAAGACCGCAAUGUAUUUUAAAAUGUCUAGUGUUUAUUUGGUUAAAUUCGUGUGAUAUCCUAAUAUUAGUUUUGGUAUACUUUAUACACAAUUUUCUUUGUACGAUUUGUAUUUGAUUUGUUAAAAAGGAAAAUAUAUAUUUUCAAGUACUUAAAAAAAAAAAAGAUAGCGGACUUGCAAAUUAGUUAUCCUAUUUUAUAAGAAUUUGAAAUUAAAUAAGUAUAUUGUUUAUAAAGAAAUUAUAUUUAUUUUUUAUGCUUUACUCAAUGUUGGUCAAACUAAAUAUCCGAUUUUAUGUAUUAAGUAGAGAUCAAAUAGCAAGUAUGGACGGGGUAAUGGAAAAUUGUGCCCACUGCUAUGUAAAUUGGUACAAAAUGAUUUUUUGAGUAAUAUUUAUUUAUUUGGGUAACUGGUUUAACUCCGUCGAUCUAAUGGACCGGUGGAUCUGAGAUUGGUUUAGGGUGAACCGGAGAAAGAUGUUCAAAUUCUCUUUUUGUUCUGACAGUGAUACACCAAAGUCAGCCAUUUAUGAGUAGCCGGCCACGUCACCACACUAUUAACCGGGUCAAGGAUAAGAUAAAGACGUUUCCAAACAAGGCCCUACCGUGAUGCGACCUUCAAGUAAACGCUCGUUCUUUGCGAUUCCUCCGCUUACCAUAUAAAUACAGAAAAAAGUCCAUCAUUGACAGUUACGAUCGUCUCUCUUCUCCAACGCUUCCGAUCUCUUCUUUCGUUUCUGGUAAGCUCAUUUUCUCUCCAUCGUUUCUGCUUCUCCGUUGACUGCGAUUCUCGACGCGAUCGUAACGCUGUGCGCGCGCGCGCCUGUUCGUGUUCUCUUAGAUUCGAAUCAGUUCCGUUAGAUCAUACUUUUGUGAACGAAGAACGUUUGAGUUUCCGUGUAUGUAGUCUCGUUGAUUUGUGCGAUUUAUGUUAAUGUGAUGAUGCGUUAGGUUCUCGGCGUAGAUUAGUGUUGAUCGGUACCUAAGGCGUGCGUUAACAAGAGAAAGCUGAUCUUACUAACCUGUAACGAUAUGCCUUGUGUUUUCUUCGCCUACAUUGAUUUUGAUUGAUUGAUUGAUACCUAAGGCGGUUAACAAGAGAAACUGAUCUUAUUAGUGAUAUCAAUAUUGAUCUCUUGUGAAUUGUGAUCUUCUUGAUUAGUAUUUUGAGUUAGCGAUGAAGCCAGGAGGAUCAGGAUUGAAUCCGAACGCAGCAGCUUACGUACCAAUCUCCAAAAGAGACGGUGAUUCUGCAAAGCCUGCUGCAUCUGAGAAGCAGAUGAGUGAUGAGGAUUUGGAGAUGGACGUGGACAUUGAGUUCCUUUUAGCCACGUUCUCUGACUUGUCAUAUGAGUCUAUCAGUGAUGUGUACUUGGCUAACAAUGGUGAUCUGGAUGCUACUAUCGAAAUGCUGACUCAGCUCGAGGUGAUUCAUCUCACUAGUACACUUGAUUUACACUAGUGUAGAUUGUGAAGCUUAAGCUGUGUUACAAUUGAUGUUCCGAUUCUGCAGAUUUUCAGUAAUGAAGCUGAGGAAUACCUUCCAGACACACUUGACAUUGGUGAUGUACCUGAAACCAUCAAGCCUUCUACUUCAUCAGCUCCAAAGCAGACGAAUGCAAGUGCAUCAACAUCCUCCCGUGCCCCAAACGCUCCCUCUUCCUGAUUUGAUGAGUCUUUAAAUUUGAAGUUUUAUAAAACAUUCGUGUAAAGGAUGAUUAUAUGAUAUGAGGUUGAUGGGUUAUCUUAGGAGAUCUCUUUUCUAUAUUUUCCUGCCCCGAUGCUUUGUUACAUUGGAGAAAAAGAGAGAGUACAAUGUAUAGAUUUUUUGAAAAUAUCAAGUAUGAGUGUUGAGAAUUGGGAUUGUUCUUAUGGUGGACAAAGCUAUUAAUCAUUAACCUCUGAUGCUCUUUCGGCCAUUUUUAUUAUUUUUCUCUUCUUUUGCUCAUUGCGCUGCUAAAUAUUUUUGCAUCUUCUCUUCACCACAUGUUUGACGUAUGGAAUUGAUUUUGUUCUUUGGUAUAUUUCUAAUGUUUACAUCCAUUAACUGUAUCUUAACAAUGUUAAUGUUGUCUUUUUAUUUUUUCUCCCAUUAAUACAAGAUUUUAUUCCCCAGUAAGUUGUUCAAAGAUGGAAUCUAAACGUUGUCUGUGGGUCUGUAAUAAUUAAAUGAAUAAACGUGCAGCUACAUUUGCGGCCCUCUUCUCUCUCUCUCUAAGUAUUAUUAUUAGAAUCAUCUAAAAAUACCUCCAUAUACUUGCUCGAUUUGGUUUCUUCUUCUUUCCUUUUUCUCCUUUUUCAUCAUUCAUCUGGUGAUGCAGGAGAUCUGAUUGAUUUUUUUCUUCUGGGGUUUUGUUUUAGAGGAAGAAAGAAAUUCAAAAUAAUAAUAAAAAGAUGGGUUUGGAUUAUUACACCAUAUUGAAGGUUGACAAGAAUGCAACGGAGGAUGAUCUCAAGAAAUCUUACAGAAAAUUGGCUAUGAAAUGGCAUCCUGAUAAAAACCCUACCACCAAAACCGAAGCUGAAGCCAAAUUCAAACAGAUCUCCGAGGCUUAUGAGGUAACUUUUUUUCUCUUAUAAUCUUGUUCCUAAUCUUGAUUCCCUUAGAUCCCCAAAAUAUCCAAAACUGUGUGUGUGUAUGUAUGUCUUGUUGAGAUCCAUUCCUUUGACUAAUAAUGAGUUUCUUGGGACACAAGCAAAAUGUACCUCCUCAAAGCCUAUUUUCUGAGUGUGGGAAAACAUUUCAGGUUCUGAGUGAUCCUCAGAAGCGAGCAGUAUAUGAUCAAUACGGUGAAGAAGGACUAAGCGGUAUGCCGCCUCCCGGGAGCACAGGAAACAACGGAAGAGCAGGCGGGUUUAACCCUAGAGAUGCAGAAGACAUAUUCGCAGAGUUCUUUGGAAGCAGUCCAUUUGGUUUUGGAUCAGCUGGUGGUGGUCCUGGAAGGUCAACAAGAUUCCAAUCAGACGGAGGAGGAAUGUUCGGCGGAAACAACGGUAGUGAGAACAUGUUCAGGACUUACAGCGACGGCACUGUGCCUAAGAAACCACCACCCGUUGAGAGCAAGUUGCCUUGUAGCCUUGAAGAGUUGUACACUGGAUCGACAAGGAAAAUGAAGAUCUCUAGAACCAUUGUUGACGCUAACGGGUAAUCUUUGUUUCCAUUUUAUCGCAUUCACCCGUAAGAUCUUGAGGGCGGACUCUGAGAUUUUGGAGGUUAUAGAGAAUAAGAAUUUUAUUUAAAAUAAUUUGAAGUCUAUAUAUAUCUAUAGAAAUUAAUUUUUAAAAUUGUUUUUACUGGACUGUGUCUAGGACCGGUCUCAUGUGUUGUUUUGGAUGGUGAAACAGGAGACAGGCGCAAGAGACAGAGGUUCUAACGAUUGUUGUGAAACCAGGAUGGAAGAAAGGGACCAAGGUCAAGUUUCCAGACAAAGGAAACGAGCAAGUGAAUCAAUUACCAGCUGAUUUGGUGUUUGUGAUAGACGAGAAGCCGCACGAUUUGUUCAAGAGAGAUGGGAAUGAUCUCAUCACAAGCGCGAAAGUGACGCUUGCGGAAGCUAUAGGAGGAACAACUGUGAGUAUCAAGACGCUUGAUGGGAGGAAUCUACCCGUUGGUGUCACGGAGAUAGUCAGUCCAGGGUAUGAGCUUGUGGUUCCUGGAGAAGGGAUGCCGAUAGCUAAGGAAAAAGGAAACAGAGGUGAUUUAAAGAUUAAGUUUGAUGUUCAGUUUCCGACAAGGUUGUCAACGGACCAGAAGUCUGCACUCAAAAGGGUCUUAGUGGGUUGAAGAGUUGAGAUUUGGAAUCCCUCUCAAUGCUCUUGCAGUCAUGGUGAUGGUACCUUCCUUUGUUUUUGUUGUUGUUCAUUAGUUCUUUCUGUAAAGACUUUGUAGCAUGUUCUUGAUGUGUCUUAAAAACAACCUGUACAAAUCUUUGAUUGUGUUUGUUGCAUACUAUUAAACUUUAAGCUCUUGUUCUUAAAUAUUCCGGUUUACAAUUCUAUUAGCAUGCUACAAUAAAUAUAAGUCAACAAACCUAACAAAAACAUACUAUAAUAUUAGAGAAAGGAACAAAGAGAUAAAUGUGAAUGACAUAGGAGUAGAGACAUAUGUUUCCUCAUUCGAUAAGUUCAUGUUGCCACACAUGGACUCAUCUUCUUUUAUAGCUGAAAAUGGCAUAUGGUGAAUGGAAGUUUCCUCCAUAUAGGUAGAGAGAUACUCCGCUCCCAUAUUAAUGGACAUGAUACACCACAACUGUAUGCAACAUUCACUUCAAAAUAUUCAUGGAAACAGAUGGACAGAGUUUUGUGGUUAAUCUUUCAACUGUUAAGCAAAGGAGGAGAAACAUACUAGUGGUUAACGUGGAUUCCACGGCACACGUAGAUGAAAUAAAACGGCCUAAUUCAAAUAAACAAGGCCCAAACUCAGUGUUAGCUUUGAUAAUAAACGGGCCUUGGCAUUUGCUUAGGAUACCUCAUUAAUGAAUCCAACGGUUGUAAUCACGUGUCAGUGUCUUAUCAGACGGACGCUAUAAUUGCAUGCGAGCUGUUAAUUAAUAAUUAUUACCAGAAAACAAAACCGCUGUUUUUUUCGAUAAAAUCAAAAAACUAAAUUGCCCAGAAAAUACCAUCAUUUCUCUCAGCAAUCGAGAAAGUAAAAAAAAAACAAUCAAUCAACACACUGUUCCUUCUCCUCCUCGAUCCAAACUCUUGUUUUAAUUAUUCCUCUCGUAUAUUUAAAAAAAAAAAAAACAAAAUCGAAACCACUGUUUCCUUUCACCUCCCAGAUUUGCUUUUUUCAAAUUUCCUCUCUAGAUUUCAGAAAACUUUCCUCUUUUGUUUAAUUCAAACCCAAAGGGUCUCCUCUCUCACUAGGAAUCAUGAGAUGAAGAUUUGAGGAGAAAGCUUGUAAUCAUUAGGGUUUCCAAAUUAUCCAAAAGUAGAAACCUUAUUUUGUUCCGGAUCUGUGGUUCUGUCGGGGGGAUGAAGAAUGUUCAGUCCUAACACAACAUUUUAAUCUUCCUCUUUCGAUAUCCAUCGCUAUGUUCAAGCAGUUCCUCAGCAAGCUUCCUCGGAAGUCGUCCUCAAAACCCGACUCCACCUCGGAUCCAUCCGGAUCCAGCGUCGUCAGAUCCAACUCCGUCAAACGCAUGUCCUCCGCCGUCUUCCCCUCCAGCGUCGUCGCCGGAAUCGAGCCUUUGGUCCCCUUCAAAGACGUCCCGACCUCCGAGAAGCUAAACCUCUUCGUCUCCAAACUCAGCCUCUGCUGCGUCACCUUCGACUUCUCCGACCAAACCAAGAACUCACUCGAGAAAGACGUCAAAAGACAGACUCUCCUCGAGCUCCUCGACUUCGUAUCCUCCUCCUCCUCCGUUAGGUUCACCGAGCCAGCCAUCCUCGCGAUGUGCAAGAUGUCAGCCGUUAAUCUCUUCAGAGUAUUCCCUCCUAGUUACCGAGAGAGAAACGAUAGUGAUGAUAAUGAUCCCACGUUCGAACCUGCUUGGCCUCACCUGCAGAUCGUUUACGAUCUGCUGCUUAAGUUCAUCACGUCUCCUUGCCUAGACGCUAAGUUAGCUAAAAAGUAUCUAGACCACGGGUUUAUACUAAGGCUCCUCGAGUUGUUCGACUCCGAGGAUCCGAGAGAGCGUGAGUGUUUGAAGACAAUCCUCCAUCGCGUCUACGGGAAGUUCAUGGUUCACAGACCUUUUAUCCGCAAAGCAAUGAGCAACAUCUUCUACAGCUUCGUCUUCGAGACCACCGAGAAGCGCGGCGGGGGAGGAAUCGCCGAGCUUCUCGAGAUUUUCGGGAGCAUUGUGAGCGGUUUCGCUUUGCCUCUCAAAGAGGAGCAUAAGAUCUUCCUGUGGAGGGUGUUGAUUCCGUUGCACAAGGCUAAAUCCGUUGGGGGGUAUUUUCACCAGCUGUCUUAUUGUGUGACUCAGUUUAUUGAUAAGGAGCCGAAGCUUGGGAGCGUUGUGAUAAAGGGUUUGUUGAAGUUUUGGCCUGUGACGAAUAGUCAGAAGGAGGUUAUGUUUCUUGGGGAGGUUGAGGAGAUUGUGGAGGUGAUGAGUUUGGUGGAGUUUCAGAAGGUGAUGGUUCCUUUGUUCUUGAGGAUUGCUGCUUGUGUUAACAGUUGUCACUUUCAGGUAGGUUUCUUGCUUUCUUUUUAAGAGAUAUUGUUAAUCUAAAAUUAUUUUUAGACACUGUUUUUUUUUAAAUAAUAUUAACGGUAUAAUUAACUAAGUUCUAAAAGUUAAUAGACGUUUUUUUGAAAUUAUAAGCUCUAAAUUUAGCUUUUUUGAUCAAAAUUUUUGAAGUUUUAGACCAUAAUUUAUGUAUAUAUUUUUGAAAUUUUAUUUUUAAAAAAGUUUUAGCAGUAUAAUUUUGAAGUAUAAGUUUUAGCUCUAAAUUUCAGUAGUAAAUCUAAAAUUUUGAUGUUUUAGACCAUAAUUUAUGUAUAUAUUUUUGAAAAAUUAUUUAUUUUAUUUUUUAGAUCCACUUAGAUGGCCUUGAUCUCAAUUUAAGCAGUGUAUUAUUGAAGUGUAAGUUUUAGCUCUAAAUUUCAGCAGUAAAUCUAAAGUUUUGAAGUUUUAGACCAUAAUUUAUGUAUAUAUUUUUGAAAAAUUAUUUAUUUUAUUUUUUAGAUCCACUUAGAUGGCCUUGAUCUCAAUUUUGGAGUUUGAACCGUUUGUGUUUUUCUUGUGGUUUAGGUUUCUGAGAGAGCUUUGUUCUUGUGGAACAACGAUCAGAUUGUGAAUUUGAUUGCACAGAACAGGCAAGCCAUCUUACCGAUCAUGUUCGCUGCCUUGGAGAAGAACGCUGAAAGCCACUGGAACCAGUCCGUGCUGAACUUAACUCUAAACGUGAGGAAAAUGUUUUGUGAGAUGGACGAGGCUUUGUUCAUGUCUUGCCACGCGCGGUUUCAGGAGGACGAAGCAGAGCAAUGCUCUGCGGAGGAAAAGAGGAAAGAAACAUGGGCGAGGCUAGAGAAGGCGGCAAGUAUGAAGCCUGUAACUGGAAAGACAGCUGUUCUUGUAACUCCUUUAGCAACCUCCAUUGCCUGCUAAAUGAAGAUGAUGGAAUGGCUGUUGGUUAAGCUAUGGUCUGGAUUUGAUCUUUGUAAUGUUAUAUAGUUUUGAUGUUGUUAGCUUAUGUGGGUUUUAUGCUAAAUCUCUU
rnacentral:lncRNA from 1 species